rnacentral:tRNA from 1 species
CGGGACGUAGGGGAGUUAGGAGUCCCCGCGUGGCCUGGGACCACGAGAGCGGCGGUUCGAAUCCGCCCGUCCCGA